UACAUCUCUUACUUCUUGUAGCCUGAACAAUUGAACAAGAUAUUUGAGCUUUGCGGGUCACCUGAUGAAAAUAAUUGGCCAGGGGUUUCUAAGAUUCCUUGGUAUGCUAACUUCAAGCCAUCAAGGCCCAUGAAGAGACGUGUUAGGGAGGUUUUCAGACAUUUUGACCGCCAUGCCCUUGAUUUAUUGGAGAGAAUGCUGACACUUGAUCCAUCCCAGAGGAUAUCUGCAAAAGAUGCACUUGAUGCUGAAUAUUUCUGGGCUGACCCUUUACCUUGCGAUCCCAAGAGGUAAUUUCCAUGUCUCUGAUUAGAUCAUACACUUGAUCCAUUGUCUUGAGUUUAUUGUUCGUCUUCAAGAUAACGAAAAAGGCUGGUGCUAAACUUGCAUAUCCAGUGGAGAACUAAAAUAUGUUAUGCUAUGUGGCGGACAGUUUUCGUUUCUUAUAUCAUGUCUACAUACAUCUUUC